rnacentral:rRNA from 1 species
GACGAACGCUGGCGGCGUGCUUAACACAUGCAAGUCGAACGGAAAGGCCCUGCUGUUGUGGGGUGCUCGAGUGGCGAACGGGUGAGUAACACGUGAGUAACCUGCCCUUGACUUUGGGAUAACUUCAGGAAACUGGGGCUAAUACCGGAUAGGAGCUCCUGCUGCAUGGUGGGGGUUGGAAAGUUUCGGCGGUUGGGGAUGGACUCGCGGCUUAUCAGCUUGUUGGUGGGGUAGUGGCUUACCAAGGCUUUGACGGGUAGCCGGCCUGAGAGGGUGACCGGCCACAUUGGGACUGAGAUACGGACCAGACUCCUACGGGAGGCAGCAGUGGGGAGUAUUGCACAAUGGGCGGAAGCCUGAUGCAGCAACGCCGCGUGCGGGAUGACGGCCUUCGGGUUGUAAACCGCUUUCGCCUGUGACGAAGCGUGAGUGACGGUAAUGGGUAAAGAAGCACCGGCUAACUACGUG